AAUUUUGCCAUUUAAUGUCGCUCCAGCCAGGCUUCCUUUCUUAUGAAUCAUGUUGGGACACGAGGUCCACUUAUCAUAGCUUGGGUCAUAGCGUUCAACUGAAUUGUACCAAGAAUGGCUGUCCGCACCCCCACCACAAACAUAGAUAUUACCAUCUAAAACAACUGCAGAGGCAUAUGAACGAAUACAGCUCAUUGAGUCGAGGGGUGUUAA
rnacentral:misc_RNA from 1 species